UUUUAAACCAAUAGCCAGUCCCUAACCUACUCUGAUUAAACCCAAACAAAUUUAACUCCAAACAAAAACUUGACCAAAAAAAUUGGAAGAGGAAGAUGAGUGAGAAUGAAACCCUAGCAGAUCUAUUCGCCACCGCAGUAUUCAUCUCUUUGCUAUUGCCACCAUCAAGCUCGCUGUAGCGUCUGAGAUCAGAGGGAGAGUAACCAGCGAUGCCCGUGACACUAUCCUUGCCAAGGUCCAGGAGCAGGUUUCCAUCCUCAACUCCACUUUCUCAUAGAAGGAGUCAGAUCAAGCCGCUGCCAAGUGCGCCACUCACACGCUCCCCAAUCUUGCCAAAACGAGGAAGUGGUGAAUGUGAUUAUCGAAGGCAGAGCUAUUCCUUCGGCGCGUCUCCUAAGAUCACGACACAGUAACUUUUGAGAUCUCCUUCUGCGUUCUUUUGUGCAUUCCUAUGGAAGCUUAUUUUUUGUUAAUUUUGUGAUUUCCUCUACAUUAAUUAAGUUUAAUUGAUUACUUCUCUAAUUUCUGAUUUGGCUUGUUACUUUUGCGAUUAUUUAGUAACUUGAUGGCGAUACAAUUAGUGUUGAUAUUUUUGCUUAUCCUAGUUUGAUUCUGAUUUUUAUGUUGAAAUAUACAUAUGGAUAAGCAGAAUGAGAUCCUUAUGGAAGCCUAUAGAUCAAUGCUCCAUGAAUGGCAAAAACUUCAAGUUCUUUGCUUGGCACUACCCCUGAAUUUUCCUGUCUCUAAUUUAAUUUGUGCUUUUUUACUAUUUUAGCUAUUCUCUUUGAAAUAGAAAUUACAUUCUUCAUUUAGAUAGUCCUAAUUUGAUGUAUUUUUCAGUAACAAAUAACAAAUGUGAUGUUUGUAAGAGAGAAAGUACUUUCUGGUAUCUAUUGGGAUUGUGAUACUAAUUUCUGGUGGCAUGUAUCAAUGAAUUUUCGAAUAAUGAUUUAUUUUUCUGUGUGACAUGUUUUUAUUAAUUCAUCAACACUAAUUCAUCAUUAAAUUAUAGAGUUCUAAUUAAUAUGUCAAAGAAGAAAUGCUUAUGCAUAAGCUCUAUGAUAUUAUGUCAGCUCAUGGUCUAACUAAAAAGGUAUCUUGAUCAUUCAUCUCAUCUCUUCUAUAAGAAUUCCAUUCUGCUUAUCCUCUCCCCUGAAGAAUGCAAGGUUGAAAGAUAAGUUAGAGGAGUUUUUUCAACUGUCAAUACGAGCUCUUUGUUAUUCACUGCUCUAAUCAUGUUAAUACUCUAUCUUAAGGACCAUCAAUUGCUUGUUGGUUGUUACUUCUUUUACAAUAUUUACCUUAUUGUAUUUAUGAAUCAUCAAACAGCUGGAGUAGAGGUACAAGCAUUGGGUGUCAUAGUGAUGAUAACAAACGCUACCUCAAACAAUGGCACUUUGCAGUCAGGAUUCCACUUUCCAUUACUCCUCUCUUUUAUUGAAUUUUAUUUAAUACUAUUGCUGGCAAUUUUGGUUCAUCAAAGGUGGUGUGCUAUUUAAAUAAUUAUGGCAAGGAUUUCAAUGGUGGACUCUUUCGUUUCUAGAAUGGCCAGUCAAUGUCAAUUAUGCCAAUGGCUGAAGAUAUUCUGAUGUAUACUGCUGACCAGCGUAACAUUCAAUUUGUUGAUGAGCAUCUACCAGUGGUAAAUAUGAAACUUUAGGAUCCACAGCUGCUAGUGCUUCUGGCCUUCUGGCAAUUAUGGUGGCAAAAUCGAUGGAAUUCUCUUAUCAAGAACUAGCCAAGGCUACAAAUAACUUCAGCUCUGAUAACAAAAUUGGUCAGGGUAGAUUCUGAGCUGUCUAUUUUGCAGAAUUGAGAGGCCAUAAAGCAACAAUUAAGAAGAUGGAUGUUCAAGCAUCAACAGAGUUUCUUUCAGAGUUGAAGGUCUUAAAACAUGUUCAUCACUUGAAUUUGGUGCAUUUGAUUGGAUAUUGCGUCGAAGGAUCUCUCUCCUUGUGUAUGAAUACAUUGAAAAUGAAAACUUAGGCCAAUAUUUGCAUGGUACAGGGAGAGAACCUUUGGCAUGGUCAACAAGGGUGCAAAUUGCUCUGGAUUCAGCAAGAGGAAUUGAAUAUAUACAUGAACACACUGUUCCUGUUUAUAUCCACCGUGAUGUGAAACCUGCUAACAUAUUAAUAUAUAAAGACUUCCGUGAAAAGGUUGCAAAUUUUGGGCUAACUAAACUUUGGGAAGUUGGAAGCUCUUUAUCACUUCAUACUCGUCUUGUGAGAACAUUUGGAUACAUGCCUCCAGUUGGAUCAGAAUGCUUCAACCAGCUAAAGGUUGUUACGGCCGUAGCACCAACAAUACUUCUGGCAAUCAAAUCAGAAGAAAACAAGCUACAAGAAGUCAUGGUUGGAUUAGCAGCAAAUGUUUUCACAUUCAUGUCCUCUCAGGAAUCAAGCUCUGUAUUUUAAGAAGCUGGAAUCACUGAAGUUGAACUGGCAAGUAUACUAGUACAUAUUCUCAAGAAGCACAAGUAUCCGGCAACAAAGAUGCUGAGGAUAAGGAGGUUUGCCAUAGAGUUUGCGAUUUGAAUGAUGAAAGACAAAGCAGAAAACAUAGAUACCUUCAAGCAUAUGGGAAUGGAGAAGGUGCUGGAAGGUGUAUUAGAAACCACAUCAGAGCUUGAAAGGUUCAAUGUUUUCUUUGGUACUGUUGGAUUGAACAGGCACAAUCUAACAAUUCACUCACUGGUUGAGACAGCCUUUAAGUUGCUAGAAAAAAGGUAAAGUAAUACAUCACUUUUGAACCAUAUUGUAAAAUCAAUAAUCCAUGUUAACCUUGAGCAAAAAUUGUAAAUUUGUAACACUGUACACUGUUGUUUUUUUUGUAUAAAUGUGUAUUAUCCCACAUUAAUUUUGAUUUUGGUUUUUGGUUC